GACGAACGCUGGCGGCGUGCCUAAUACAUGCAAGUCGAACGCAGUGGGGACGGGUGAGUAACACGUGGGUAACCUCCCAUCAGAGGGGAUAACACUUGGAAACAGGUGCUAAACCGAUACUGAUGGAUGGACCCGCGGUGCAUUAGCUAGUUGGUGAGGUAACGGCUCACCAAGGCCACGAUGCAUAGCGGAUCUGGGAGGGGGAUCGGCCAACCUGGGACGAUGAAAGGGCCCAGACGCCAACGGAAGGCGGCGGAAGGGAAUCUUGGCAAAUGGAGGAAAGUCUGACCGGGCAACGCCGCGGGAGGGAAGAAGGUUUGCGGAUGGUAAACCUCUGUUGUUAGAGAAGCGGUAUCGAACCAGAAAGCCACGGCUAACUACGUGCCAGCAGCCGCGGUAAUAC
rnacentral:rRNA from 1 species